CUUAGGGUCAGCAACGGCCACGCCAGGUGCCUCUCCCUCCAGGUCCGUGUGCAUCACUGCCCCAGAGUCCGCGUGGCCCAGCCGCCCGCACCCCGGCCCAGGCUGGGCGCUCGCAAUGGGUCCUGGGCUCCCGGAGUCCCGCACCCGGAGGGCAGGCAGCCGGCCAGGAGCGCCAGCUCGCCUCAGAGUUGGUGGGAGUCGCGCUUUUGCCCAGGUUGGGUUGGAGGGCUCUGCCUGAGAGGGCGCCCCCGCAGAGCCGGCCUCUUAGAGUCGCUUGCCUCGCACCUCCUUUCCUCUUUUCCUUCCAGUCUCUGCCGCUUUUCCCACCAUCAGAGAUUCAGGAAGGGCUGUGAAGCAGCUCUGCCGUGGGCGACCACGACAGACAAGGACCUGCCCCCUAGAACUCACCUUCUGCUGGGGGAGAGGCAGGACCAGGAACACCCCUAACUGCACAGCUGCAGUCUGUGAGAAGGGCAAGGAAGAAGCCAGAGCGGGGUGGGGGUACAGUGAGGGGCGGGACCACUUUAGAUAGGCCUCCGAGGAGGGGGUGUUUACGCUGACCGUGAACGAGAAGAGGGAGCCCGUCUUUGGAUGAUCUGGGAGAGAGCUUUCCAGGUGGAUGGAACAGCAAAGGCAAUGGCCGCGAGGGCACGAAGGGUUACCCAGAGCUGUCCACGCCGUUUGUCCAUUCUUCCCCUUGAGAUGAAAAGGCUUAGAUUUGCAAGACAACUGGCAUUCUGCCUUCUUUCUGUGCCUCCCUCUGCCUGGAAUGAUCUUCCCAUAGGCUUCCACAGAACCGGUUCCUUCAGGUCGCCGUCAAUGGUCACCUCAGGACUCCGGGAGCCGGGAGCCGGGCGCAGCCAGUGAGGCUGAGGUGUGCAAAGGGACAACUUUCUUUAAGUCUUUAUUUUAAAAGUUGGUAUUUUGCUCACCAUGGAUUGGUUUUGCACUAAAUUUGAUUCUUAAAAAAUAUCAUAUCAAAAUUUUAUUUAUCUUGAUUCCUGAGCUUUUUGGCGCCUCCUUAAAUUUCACCCCCAGGCGAGAGCCCCACCGGCCUCAGUCCAGCCCCAGCUCAGCUCCUGGUCCAGGGUGCUGUGGACUGGGAGUCAGGAGACCUGGCUUCUGGUCCAGCUUGUGCCACUAGACCAGCUGUGUGACUGAAUGCAUGUACCCUCGGCGCCCUGAGCCGCUCAGCUGCACCAUCUCUCCAGGGACGGGCUAUUCCUGGCUCUAGUUCUAGAAUGAUCCAAGACACUCCUUAGAACUCUGAUAGGUUGUGUAUUGUAUGCAUCUCCUGGGGGCUUUGGGCCUGUUUUAGGCCUCUGACUCUGGCCAUUAUGUCACCGGCCUUUCCCCAUCCCAUGUGAGGUGAUCCUCUGUGCAAACACCACAUCUUCGUGGCUGCUUUGUGCAAUGAGCGUUGAUGCCCUUGUCGUUUUCCCCAUCCUGGGGGGAGUUUCAGUUUUGGAGGUGUGGUCGUGCCCUUUAUUCUUGCUUCUUGCUCUUUGGUUCCAAUCACUGGAUCAUGUGACACACCUUCAUUAGGAAGCUUCCCAAAUGCCAAGUGCUGAGCAACCACUCAGGAUACAAAAGAAACCUGUCCAGCCCUGGAAGAGCUGACGUUCUAGCGAGGGAGCCAGCACAUAAGCAGACCCGUGUGCUGAGAGAAGUGUGCCCGGGGUAGAGGACGUCCAGCUCAGUGAAGGUCACCUUGAGAGGACGGUGCACUGUCCUUCCUCCUGGGGGGACCCUGCAUCCUGGGGGCUGUCUCCAAGUGCCAGCGGCCCAGAGCAGUGGGCAGUCACCUUCCUAAUGGACUCUCCGCCAUAGAGAGCUGUGGUGUGACAUUUUGCAUCCACACUUGAAUGGGCGAAGCUCUGAGUUACAGCUUUCAGUUCCUUCUAACUCCCCAUCUCCCUCCAUCCCUCCUCUGGAUUGUGGCUUGUUCCUCAGUUGUUCCUAGUUCUGACAACCCUCAAAACCUGUUUCAAAGUGCACCUCCCUCUUUCAGUUCUCCUCCGCUGCUCCAGCCCUCAGGGGACUCUUCUCUCACUUUUUUUCCAAAGCCUUUAUCAACUAAUAGACCUUCUGCCUGGAGCUUAAUUAAGAUCGGUCCAGAGUUUCUUGUUGCUUCAGCAAAGCCGGAAUGUAAUGGUUCUUGCAGGGAGAGGGCACUUGCCUGGCAGUCAGUAACAGCUGGGAGGGCUCUGCUCCUCCACUCAGAGGGUACAAACAGAUGUAUCUGGCUAGCCUUCUGUGUUUUAAAAAUAAUGAAUUAUGUGCCAAUACUUGAAAAUCAGGAGAUCUCAAAUAAAACUCUGGGUUUUCGGCUUCCCUUGAAAACUUAGAAGUUGUGCCAACCCUGAGCCUACAUUCCUCCCUGGCAAAAAUUGGCUAGAUCUGGUAGCACCUUUUUCCUUAAGUGGGGCAUGGGUCUUCCAGUUUGCCACAAUCCCCACUACUCCUUAAUGUCUAACAUUAGGCUCCCUUUACUUAUCUACUUUACCUUCCUGGCCCCUAGAGGAUUUUGAGAUUUUAAUCCCUUCUAACUUUUUUCUUUAAGAGGGUAGACAGCUCAUCAGAGCACUAUGCACUGGCUGAUGCUUAGCAUGGCCCAAAGGGAGGCUGGGCAUCACUCUGAAAAUUGUUGGGGAGGUGGGGAGGGGACACUUAGGAGGGUGCUUGCUGUGAAUCAGUCUGAAGAGUCUUAGUAUCAACGAACUCCAGUGUUGGAACUUGGCUGCUACCAUGCUGCUUUACCUGGACAUGUAGAGAUAUACUUAGUGUGAACAUAAAACAAUAAAUUUAUAAAAAUUAACUAACUUAUCAAGAGCACUUACUAUGUGCCAGAUACUGUUCUCAGAUUUUUACGUUUAAUUUCACAAUAACCCUGUGUGGUCACCACUGUUACUUCUCCCAUUUUAGAGACAAGGGACCUGAGACGCAGGUAGGUAACUUGCUCGGGAAUGCACAGCCAGAAAACAAGAGGCUGCAAUUGCACCAGACACAGAAUGCCUGGAACCUGGAUUUUACCAGGAUUGGAGGUACCGGCAGGUGAUGGGUUUUUCUAUUGUUGUCUUCUCUGCAUCAUCCAUUUCCUGGGGCUGUAAUCUGUUUCCCUCCUGCCAGGAGGCUGUGAAGUUUGAGGCUUCCUUCCCUUGGCACCGGGCUGAAGUUAGCUGGCCCCCAGCUCUGCUACUGUAGGCUCUUUGAUCUGGAGACACACUGGACUACACGGCUUCAGCAAGAGGAGGACAGGGGAGGGCUGGGGCAAGAAAGCAGGGGCUUUGCCAGCCCAGACCAGGUCCCCUCAGACAGCCCAGGGAUCCCAGAAGUGCAGGGCCCACCUGCCAGCCCCUGGGCAUGAGCUCGUAGCCCCUGUGUCCCCACGUCUGAGGUCAGCGCCCGGAUGCUGAGCUCCGAGCAUCCGUCUUGCUGCAAUGGAAGAUUUGAAUCCCCUUGUCGUCACUUUGCAUUGCUUCUGGGCUGUGUUCCCUCUUAUUUCAUUUUCGUCUGAAAUCCUGAGCUCACCCUCCUCGGCAGCUGACGGGCCCAUUUAUUUCCAAGGCUGCAGCCAGUCGGAGGGCUGCCGACAGCUCCGCGGAGCGCUCUGGGUUUGUGCCACCUCGUUUUGUUCCUGCAGACAGGGCUGGGAGACCAGAGAACAUCUUCAUUUUGCAGCAGCAAAGCUGUCAGAGCCUUCAGCCUCAGCCCUCAUCCUCUUGGGCCUGAGAUGCAUUUGGUUUGCCCUAGAGGGCACUGCCCGGGUUGACUCUGUCCCUUGGUCUUUCGUCCUUUUGGACUCAAAACCUUGAGAGCGUGCAGCCUGUGCUUUGCAAAUGUCCUGUCAAAUGCCCCUGAUUUGUCACAGUUGGAACAGCUCCUAGAGAUCGUGUUGUCAGAUCUUCUCGCAGUGUUCAGAUAAUGAAACAAAGCCCAGAGAGGGCAAGAGACUCAUGGGGAAUUGCACAGCAAGUGAGAGGCAGAACAAAACUGACAGGCUCCGGCCCCAGCCAUUUCACAUUAUUCCAGUCCACCUCUUCAGAAUCUCAGAAGGCCAGCCUCAAGGGACUCCCCUCACGAGGCAUCAUCUACCUGCAAGGCUCCUCCGCCAGCACUUCAGGGCACUGCUGCUCCUCCCCUUCCGGCCUCAGCUCAGAUGUCCCCUCCUCAGGGAGGCCCGCCCCUCCUGCCUUGUCUGAAGCACCCUCCAGUCACUCUCCAUCACAUUCUCUGACAUCCUCCAUUGUUUUGUCCUCAGAGCUCUGAUCAGUACCUGCAAAGAUCUCCUAUCAGAGUUUAAUUUGCAUUUUUGUUGUCGCUCCCACCAGAAUGCGAGCUCCAUCUCCCACCAGAAUGCGAGCUCCACCAGGCAGUGACCGCGUCUGUGUCUGUCUCACUCGCCUCAACCUCUCCAGUAACCUCGCCAGUACCGGCACACAGAGGCGCCCCGCAUGUCUGCGCAUGUGGAGUGAAGGGAUGAAGGGAUUUCAGGGACUUCCAAUGGUCCCUAAACAAGAGCACAGUUUUCAGUAAGGAAUGCAGAUUUAAAUGUCUGUGGGAUCACUUUCAUUUGCUUUAGAUAAGAUAGAUAAGAUUUUAUUUGUGGAAACAAAGUCUACUCCUAAAGAUGCUCCGAGGCCAUAUGUCUAGUGCCCCUUUUAUUGGCGCAUGUGACCCUGUUUGCUGAGCUCCGGGUCUGUGCUCUGCCCUGUGACAGGCACCGGACACGCAGAGGUGAGGAGAAGCAGGGGGAGCCAGGAUUCUUCUCAAACCGGCUUAAAUGCAAAGAAGAAUCGAUUGGUUUGCUUGGUCAAAAAGUCUAGGGGUUGGUCUGCCCGACUGCAAAGCCCGUGUUCUUUAAACACGGCUUUAGCAAAUUGUGGUAUAAUUUAAACAGAGUGAAACGCACAGAUCUCCAUAUACCUAUCAAGGUACAGAGCAUUUCCGGGACCCCAGGAAGUUCCUUCCUCUUCCAGUUAAGCCCCCUUCCCUGGCCCUGUCAUCCCAGGGGCGACCCCUGUUCCAGUUUCUUUCAGCACAGAUCCACUUUGCGUCUUCUGGAAUUUCACGCGAAUGGAAGCUUACGGAGCGUCCUCUUUGGCGUCUGCCUUCUUUUCCUCAGCAUCAAGCUCCACGCUCAGCAUCCGUGUUGAGUCUCCUGUCUUCUGCCGGCAUCCAUAAAACUGCGGUGGGCUCACUUGCUAGCUUGCAGCUUUAUUCCCAGGGUCUUGCACAGUGCACAGUAGCACACACAAGAUGCUCAAUAAACAUUUGUAGAGUGAAUGACUGGAUGGUUGAGAGAAUGAAUUCUUGUUGCCUUGGUCCCACUGUCUCUUCCUCAAGAAGCAAUCGUGGAACCGAAUGACUGGCUUGUUGUCCCAGCUAUUUGCAGGCAAGCUCCUGGGAGCCGUCUCUGCUUUGUGCUGGGCUGGCUCUCAUCUUCCUCCUCAUCCUCCCCCCCACCCCCGCCCCCCGUGCUUCUCCUACACAAGUGCUGCUGAGAGCACUUCAAGUGGAGGGAAGUUCCUCUCCUUUUCAUCUGCCAGCUGCUUGCUUGAGGUCAAGGAUCUCCCUCUCCACUUUACAGAAGAGGAAACAGGCCCCAGAGGUGAAACUCUCAUGUAUCUCUUGCCCUGGGUUUGGCCAUUUGCCGUCCAGUCUCAGACGGGGCCAGGAGCUGGGGCUUUUGCCCUCAUAGCCCACCAGCCCCUGGAUAUCAAGAGGGUGGGAUGUGGGUAGAACGCAGAAGUAUCUCAAACUAUUGACGACAGGGUUGACCCACAGCAGCAGUUCAGUUAGUGCUCAGCAGAGUCCUGGCUUUAGAUGGGCAUCAUCCUGCUGGGGGAUCCUUGGGGGCCUCUGAGCGGCUGCCAGUGAAAGGCCCUUGUUUGGCUCUGAACAGUUCAGGGGGUUACUUACUUGCUGGCAGGGGGUCUGCAAGGGUGGGCUGAGCUUCCAGAGCUCUCGAUGCUGACUUGAAUCCUGUUCUUGGUCCUGCCAAGUCCAGUCCCCUCGGUCGCCCAGUCUCUUCCAGCCACGCCUGGGAUGGGGGUCUCUGGAAAUCUCUCUGUUCUCUUUUUAUAUCAUUAUUAUGGCGUACACUUAAUGCCUGUUUCCCUUGGCGCCUCCCAUUUAUUUUCAAGAGCUUCCUUUGAAGUAAGAAAAAAAAAAAGGAAUGUUAUCAAUUUCUCCUUUCAUUUCUGCUGAAACAAUUUUAAUUCUCUCCCACUUGGUGUGGAUCCCUCUGAUUUAUCAGGGCAGAGUCUUGUACAGGAAGGAUGGGUGGAGAAGGCAAUGAGAGCACAAAGACUUAUAUUUCAAGAUAGUGCGUUGUGGCAUUUAGAAACUGUGGGGUAGAUUCAGGGCUGAAUUGGGGCUCCCAGGCUAAUGCUUUUCUCAGUACUUCAGGUUACAUCUCUGGUCAAGUCAGUGACUGUUUAUUAAGCACCUACUGUGUGCCAAAUGCUUUGUUGACUCACGGACCCUGAGUGCUUAAAAGCUAUGCUUUCUUCUCAGUGGUAAAGCUGUAAGUCUUGCAUCUCCUUUCAUAUGGACUGGAAUGAAAACUCUUUUGGGGAAAAGGAAAAAAUUAGCUUUCAGUGGUGGUAAUAGUUUGUGCGUUCAUCAAUCCACACAUUUACUCAUUUUUAAACAUUCAUUGAGCACCUGCUGUGUGCCAAGCCUUCUACUUGAUCUGGGGGAUAUGGCCUUGGCCGUGACAGGGAGGGUCUCUGUCUUCAUGCACUUUGAAUAUUCUUGUGUAGAGGGGCAAUAAACAAAGACACACGUAAGGACAGACAAUGAUAAACAAAGGGAGGAAAAGUAAAGGGAGUGAAGGUUUAAGAGCGAUGGAGGCAGCUCUGGGAAAGUGACGUCCAGGGCUGAGUACGCUCAACUCAUUCAGUAAUCACUUCUCGAAGGGCUCAGAGCUGAGUCGCAGAUCCUUCCUCCAGGCAGCUUGUCUCUCACGCUCUUUUUCUACUAGUAACGGAUUCGCUGGGCUGAGCCAUGGCUGCCCUCCCCUCUUCUCUUUGGCUCCUGCCCCACCUACGCUGCCUUAAAUCCAGUCCAUUCCCUGGGGCCAUCCAUCCCUUUGUGCCCUGGGCCAUCCCUUGAGCAUGUGGUCUAGCUGCUUUGCUAUUGCUCCAACACAACAGGUGUCUGGAAAGUUCUUCCCCAAGAUAUCUGCACGGCUUGAUCAUUCACUUGUUUUUAGGUCUUUGCUCAAAUGCCACCUUCAAGGGGAAGUCUUUCCUGGGCCCCCUAUUUAAAAUUGCAACAACCCCACUUCUACUCCAGACCUCUCCAUCCUCCAUUUUGUUUUCUUUUUCUCCUAAUGAGAGCACUUGAGAGGACCGAUGACCUUCAGUUGAGGGACCCAGGCAGCCUGCGGCAAUGGUGCUCUCCUCCGUCCAUCUUGCUGAGGCUCCCAAUUGGCCUUGCCCAAUCAGAAGAUGGAGGCGUGUGUGUGGUGGCGAGAAGGCGGAGAAUGACAAGGCCUGAACUUGAACUUCAGCUCCCGCACUUACCAGGUGUGUGACUUUGGACAUAUCACCACACCCUCUGAGGCCAGAUACUCAUCUGUUAAAUGCAGCUAAAAAUCCCUGCUCUGCAUCCUCUCUGGAAGAUUGUGAAGAUUCCAGGAGUUUCAGGACGUGGAAAUGCUUUGCAAACAGCACAUAAAACUUGGAUAAAACUGGUUGUUUUAAUCUCAGCCACCAGUGCGUGUUUCCACUGUUGACUCAGAAAUUCCAAGUCUAGACGCAGAACGGGUAACUGGUCGCCAUGAAGACCUGGGGAUGACAGGGGUUUCCAGCCCAACCGAUGUACUUAAAUUGGCUUCUGAUGGAAAAAUCCUGAAGAUCCCAGGCGUGGGUGGCCGUUCUGUUACCCAUCAGGACACAAGGUACCCAGUUGUUGCUGGGGGCCUAAGACAAGGUCUUGAUUCCAGCUUCAUAAAUGCUUCAAGGAGCGAUCUGUUAUCCCUCGUUCCUCCCUGCCUCCCGCCAAAGGGAGCUCUCUCCGAGGGUGAGGGGGGAUGGCAGCAUCGUGGCCCCGGCGGUGUGCUUCCUGUAAAGCAGUAGGAAACUGCAGACCCUCCUGUCUUGUUUGGGGGCUCAGGCGCCAUUCUACAGCAGACAGGAGACACCCCACGGCGGGAGCCCUGUAGCCCUGGCUCCGGGGAAAGCAGAGGACACCACCUGUGUCGCCAAGGCAUUUAGCCACGGAGAGGGCAUCUCUUUAGCGAUCUGGGCUGGAGCCCAGCAUGAGGUUGGCUGGUGGGCACGGCGCGGCUCCUUGCUGUGAGCUGGCAUUCAGGGCCGAGCACAGUGCCAUGUACCGGGCGCAGGGUUAGAGGUGGUUCUCAGCCACCGCCUUGCCUGCUGUCGGUCUCGGGCUUUGAAGAGUCAAGAACCGGAUUGGUUCUUGGGGGUGGGGAAGAGGCCCUCUUCUUUUUGUUUGGCAGCUUCCACUCCGUUCUCAUUUCCAGCGAUGGGGUACCGAGGUUCAGUGGCUGGAACUCUAGCCUGGGCAAAGGGACCCUGAGCAUUUGUCUCAGCUCCUCCCCUCCCUGAUAUCAUACCUUUGGACAAAUUGUUUCCUUUUCUCGGCCACAGUUUACCCAUCCUAAAAUGAGGGACUUUUUCUGUGAUAUGAGAUGUUUCUUCCAAUUUGAAUAGCUUGUGUUUCUAGGCAGGGUUUCUCAACCUGGGCACUAUGGACAUUUGGGUCAGGAUCAUUCUCUGUGCUGGGGGCUGUCCCGGGCAUUGUAGGAUGUUUAGCAGCAUCCCUGGCCCCCGCCCACUAGAUGCCAAUAGCACCCGCCCUGAAAGUUUCGACAAACAAAAAUGAUUCCAAUGAAAAAUAGCAACGAAAAUCCUCUGGGGAUCAAAACUGUGUCUGUUGAGAACUACUGAUUCAGGGUGUAGGCUAAAGAUUUUGCAGUUGUGGGAAGUGUUUCCCCGGGUCUUACUCUGGAGGGUAAAUUAUUGUCGUUAUUGUUGUUAUUGGCUAUUCAACACACGCAGAUAUAUAUAUGUUCAUGUAGAUACAUAUCUAUACGUAUGCUUCCAUCCUCACAUCAACUUCUUCCCUCUUGUGUCCAUGUCUCUGUGUCCUGAUCUCCCUUUCCUUCCUCCUACAAAGACACUAGCUUUAGGACCCGCUCUAAUCUGGUGUGACCUCAUCUUACCUUGGUUACAUCGGCGAAGACCCUAUUUCCAAAUAAGGCCACCUUCACAGGUACCAGGGAUCAGGACUUGAACAGAUCUUUCUGGGGGACGCAAUUCAACCGGGUACCAAGGCCAGGACUGAACGGCCAUGGCCAAGGGGGAAUGAGAAGAAGUCCCGCUGCUCUGUGAGAAUCACGCCCACUUUCUGAUGUAACAGCCCCAGGAAGGGCAUCUUCAAUUCCAGUUCCACGGUUCCAGCAGCUCCGGUGCACACACCCUCAGCCCUCCUGUCUCUCUCCCUCUGUCGAGUUCGUCCAGCAAAACCCUGACCCUGAUUCCAUCCCGCCGUCCAGAGCCACGCCCAAGCUGGACAGUGCCGGAUAAAAACACACAACUGUGUCGAGGGUCUCUUUACAUUUUUGCGUACAAACCUUAAGUGGACCCUCGGCAGCGCCCAACAGUCCCAUUCCACCUCCUCGGUCCCGUCAUUCUCCUGCUCAGGAGUACUAUUUUCCAUUCUCUCCUCCUUCCUCAGCCUUCAGCACGCUCUCGCCCUGCUUCCUCUCAGCGGAGGACGUGGCUUCUGAUUUCACUGAGAAAACGGAAGCACUCAGAAGAGAACUGUUUGCUUGCCCUCAGCAUACCUGCGUCCAUAGUCACAUCCUCCACCUUUUUCUCCACUCCACCUACAUCCAAGCUUGCUUGUGUCCUGGAACCCACCCCUUUCCUGGAGGAUUUCAUUCCUGCAUUUAUCUCCUCUCCAUCUCUUGCGUUGUCUCCCUGAAACCCACAAUAUCAAAAUGAAAACCUCUGCCUAUAUGCCUUGCCGCCUCUAACCACCAUCCCAGUUUCGUGCUUCCCUUGACAGGGACCCCCUUGAGUUGUACGUACCCAAGCUUCCAGUUCCUUCCCUGCCCGUUGCCUUUUGACCACGCCACCGAAUCUGCUCAAGAGAAUUGCCAACAGUCUCCAUCUUGCUAAACCCAGUGGUCCCUUCUCAGUCACCUCCUUACUCAAACUCUCAGCAGCAUUCGACACAGUCGAUCUUGUCCUUGAAUACACUCUUCUUGGCUAUGGGGACCUUCGACGCUCCUGGCUCUCCCCCGGCUCCCUGGCCGCACCUCCGCAGCCCUCCUGGCGGCCCAUCCUCUUCCUCCUGACUCCUGAAGGUUGGAGUAAACCACAGCCUCCUUUGCCUUUUGUCUCUCUCCUGCCCCACAUCCACGUACAGCCCUGAAGUGACCAUGUUCAGCCCGAAGUCUUAGAAGACCACCUAUAUUUGGACGAGUCCUAAAUUUACGUCUACAGCAUUGAUUCUCUUUUGAUGUCCAGACUCAUUUGUGUACCUCACAAUUCAACAACUCUGCUUAGAUGUCGCGGAGUACCACUGGUCCCCACCUCCUCCCGCAGGUCACUCCUGCCCGUCUUCCUCACCUCUUCCUCACGUUAAUGUUGUGAGCCUAAAAUCCUAGGAGUCAUCCUCGCUUUCUCCCCUCCUCCAUCCCAUAUCCAGUCCAUCAACCAGUCAUAUUGGUUCUCCUUUCAAAAAAUCCAGAAUCUAGCUUCUCAUUGCUCCACUGGCCCCUCAAUCCAGACCACCAUCACGUUCUGCCUGGAGGAAUGUAGCAGCCUCUCAGCUGGCCGCCCUGUGGCCUUUCUCCCCUCCUACAAGUCACUCUCCUCCCUGAAGAUGGAGGCAUCUUCUGAAACCUGAUUCAUAGCAUGUCAUCUGCCUGCUUAAAAUCCUUCAUUGCAUCUAGAAAAAAAAUCCAGGUUCCUUCCCGGGUGUCUGGUGGGGUCCUGCCUCCCUCUCCGUCCUUCUCUGGUCACUCUCUGCCUGUCCAGCACACCACAUGGGACUUCCUUCUUCGCCUUGAACAGGCUCAGGGCUCUGGCCCUCAGCGCUCCCUCUAAGACCUUCCAUGGCUGCCUCUUUUCUGUUCUUUGUGUCUCAGCUCAAAUAUCAUCUCCCAGCAGAGGCCUUUCCUGGUGGUGACCACUAGUAGUCUGAAGCUUCUUCAAUUUCUGUCAUGACAAGAUGUCCCAGACUCGUCUUGUGUAUUUCCUGCUCCAGACCUAGAAUCAGUCAUUUCUCUAAGGGGCUCUGGUUCCUUUAUUGGGAAAUGACACCUGGAGACCAUGAUCCAGGCACCAGGGUGCUCAUUGUAUGAGGUUGGUCAUUGCUGCCAGGUCUUUUCAGAAGAUAGAGUCAGGAAAUGUUACUUUAAAAUAUUACUUUAAAAAAUAGACAGGGCCUGGCCCUGUGGCUGAGUGGUUAAAGUUUCACACUCUCCUUCAGUGGGCCAGGUUCAUGGGUUCGGAUCCUGGGGGUGGACCCACUUCAUUCACUAGCCAUGCUGUGCAGGUGUCCCACAUACAAAAAAAUAGAGGAAGAUUGGCACAGAUGUUAGCUCAGGGCUAAUCUUCCUCAAGCAAAAACAAACAUACACAUAAAAAACGGCCAGCCCCAGUGGCCUAGUGGUUAAGUCCAGCACGUUCUGCCUUGGCGACCCGGGUUUGGUUCCCAGGCGUGAACCUACACCACUCCUCUAUCAGUGUCCAUGCUGUGGGGGCAUCUCACGUACAAAACAGAGGAAGAUUGGCAACAGAUGUUAGCUCAGGGCCAAUCUUCCUCAGCAAAAAAACCCAAAACAUACAAAUAAGUUGUGAUUUCUUACUUCAAAUUCACAACUACCGAGUUUUUGCUUGACGUUGUUAAUUUUCCAUUGUCUUUCUUCUCUUGUGCCAAAAACCUCAUUCUUUCAACAAAAACAUAAUUACUCAUCUUCUUUAUCCCGUUACACACACACCCAGCCUCACAAUCGCAACACUGACAUUCUUCUCAACAAUAUGAUUACUAAAAACAGUUUAAGAUUCACUUGCAGUCCUUUUUGUCCUUAGAAUAAGAGAAGUCAAAAUACUGUAGUUUCAAGUCACCCAGCUUCCUUCGUCUCUGGGUGGCUGUGCCACCAACUGUGUCCACAGAGCCUUUUGCUUCAAUUUGUUUUCAUUUUUUGGGGAUUGCUUUGUGAAAACUUAACUUUGUCUAUAAGUAUGUAAAACAUUUGUAUGGUUCCUGUAGUAGGCUGAAUAACGCACCCCCCAGCACCCAAUAAAGAGGUCCACUUUCUGAUCCCUGGAACCUGUGAAUAUGUCACCUUAUGUGGCAAAAGGGACUUUGCUGAUGGGAGUAAGGAUCUUGAGAUGGGAGAUUAUCCUCGCUAAUCCAGGUGGCCCCUACGUAGUCGUACGGGUCCUUAGAGGACAGAAGCAGGAGUGUCAGAGUCAGGGAGAAAAAGUGAUAAUGGGAACUGAGGUCAGAGAGGAGGGAAGACGUUACCUUGACAGCUUUGAAGAUGGAGAUGGGACCCGCAAGCCAAGGAACGCACGCGGCCUCUAGAAGCCUGGGCAUGGAGCUCCUUGGAGCCUCCAGAAGGAACACAGGCCUAACAGCACCCUGAUUUCAGCCUGGAGAGACCCGUUUUGGACUUUGAUCUUCAGAACUGCAAGAGAAUAAAUUUGCAUUGUUUUAAGCCGCAGAACUCAUGGUAAUUUGUAACUGCAGACAUAGGAAACUCACACACUUCCAAAAACCAGCUCUAACGUUUAUUCCUGCCACCUCCACCCUAUUCCACCCUUCCCCUGUGUUCUAGAGGUCAGUCACAGCAGGAUGUGGAGGCAGCCCUCAUUCCCUUUAAUGGCUGUAUAGAAGUCCAUCGUGUGCACGUAAUGUCUGUUAUUUAUUGGUCUCCUUUUGGUGAACACUGG
ensembl:lncRNA